UUAUCAAAAUCUGUUUAAAAAGCGUACUGUGAAGGAGUUUUAAAAAGAGGUCUUCAUAAAAUUUUAGAAUAGAAAAGAAGAAGAGUGUUUUAAUUAUAGUGCCGAAGGGGAAAAGGUUCAAAAAAUAAAAAAAGGAAAUUGAAUUUCGUACUUCUUGUAUAAUGGUUUAUAGAGUGAGAAAAUGAGUUUUAAGUCCCGAAAGUCCUAGAGCUAUUUUAUUCCAGGUUAUUGUUGAAAAAAUAUGGUAGAGUUUAUAAUAGUGCAUGAAAUGUGAUUCGAAAGGGCUGAUAGCUGGUUAAAAAGGAAAUGCAUUUAAGUGCAGCAAAGUGGUGUGCGCGCGACUUAAAAUUUAAGCCGCGCGGAAGCUUUGGUGAGCCUUCAAGGGAAAGCUUUGAAGGUUAAAAAAAAUAAAGAAACAAUGUAGAGGUUAAAUUACUCAUCUGUUUGAAAUUUUUAUAAAUCGGUUUCUAAGCUGUGUUUAUUUAGUACUUUUUCUUCCGAUUGCUCUUUAAACGGAAGACUAGUAUAGGAUAAGUAGGUGAAAAAUAUGUGCUCAAACGUUUUUAAAAAAAAGAGUUUUUAAAGGUGAAGUUGUAAAAAUUUGUUUCUAAGGAACUCGGCAAAUAUGCUCCACGCCUGUUUAGCAAAAACAUCGCUUCUUGACACCAAAUAUAAGAGGUCGGCCCUGCCCGGUGGCCGAGAGGUUAAACGGUUGCAGGUAGCACUGUACUAUGGUAGCGUAGUAAUUUGUCCUUUAAUUGGGGAAAGGUAUGAAUGGGUUGACGAUGGAGCAGCUGUCUCUGAAGCAAUUGCUGAAAUUUUUUUUUAAGUGAAAAAACUUAAAUUUUAUAAUAAGAAGAGAAGACCCCGCUGAGCUUGAUUUUUAAAAUGUUUAACAAAGUUUGAGAAAGUUUGGUUGGGGCAACAAGAAGGUAAAAAAACCCCUUCUUCUAUUAUGAGGACCCCGUAAGACGGCCUAAAGCAAAAGCUACCACGGGGAUAACAGCGCAAUUUCUUUUAAGAGAUCAAAUUGAGAAAGAAGUUUGCGACCUCGAUGUUGGAUUAAGAUUACGCCGCGGUGCAGCAGCUGCGGAAGAAAGACUGUUCGUCUUUUCAUUUCUUACAUGAUCUGAGUUCAGACCGGUGCGAACUAGGUCGGUUUCUAUCUAUUUGAGUAGCGUUUUUAGUACGAAAGGAAUUAAAGGCUAAGUUUUACUUUACCCAUUAGAAGUGGGCU
rnacentral:rRNA from 1 species